AUGCCAUCACCACACUCUCACUCUCCAGCAGUUAACUUUCAGACUCCACAGCCAUACCGCCCAAUACCAGCUCCACGCUCCAGGUUGCCACCAUCUGCCACUAAGAGACUGCCACACCCAGCUGUGCCAGAGGAAAGCUCAAAGCUGACUGAAGAUCUGAGAAAAAUGAACAUAUCUUCCUCCCCUCAUGAGAGACCCACCUUUACAGCACAUUAUAGUGACUCAGCUCAGUUCAGGUAUCCCAACACUUCCCCAUAUUCCCAGCCACCUGAGUCCGUGGUCUCAUCACAGGAAAGGAGGAGGCCAGCCCAUGCAGAAUACAGCUCAGAUCAUUUCUUACCCUCAUCUACUCAAGAGAAAAUCUACAGAGGUCCAGCCCCUACCAUCCCCUGCCUAACGUCUUCUGACCCUAGGGAGUUUUCAAGACUGAGAAUUGCUUUAGAGAACAUCCUGCCUGACGAUGCCACAGAACGUUUCAAAUUUCAAAUCCUCACAGACCAUCUGAAACUGGAGGAGGCCCUCCUUGUGGCAGACUCUUACAGCAAUUCCAGAUUUCCCUUCACCAACACCAUGAAAGCUCUGGAUAAGAUGUAUGGUCAACCCCACCAAUUAGCCCUGCAACGAAUCGCUGAGCUGAUGGAUGGAGCUAAUAUACGCAGUGGAGAUGUAAAGGCCUUCAGGAUGUUCGGACUGCAGGUGCGCUCGCUUGUCAGUAUGUUGCAGCAGCUUGGCCACAAAGGUACUGUAGAGCUGGAAUGUGGAUCACAUGUGUCUCGACUCCUGAGUAAACUGCCACAUGACCUCAGAUCAAGUUUCAAACGGUACACCCACCCUUUGCAAGUCUCUAUUCCCACUUUGCUGGACUUCGCUGAUUGGUUGGAAUAUGAGCUUCAAGUACAGGAAGACAAUAGCCAGUACGCUUGUUAUACAAGGCAGGAAUCUUCAGUGCGUGGCAGAGAGGUGAGAAGAGAGUCUAAGCAGCUUCGCAGACCAACCACCAUUCUACUGGGAACCGACAAGUCACAUUCCACAUCAAUGUGGUCAGCCACGUCUAAACCAGCUUCAGUCAGAGAAGAGAAGGUGAGAGCUUAUUGUCCAUACUGUGACAAUAAUAAACACUAUCUGAAUGGCUGUGACAACUUCAAGCUUCUUAGCAAAGACCUGAAGAUAGACUGGAUAAAGACAAAGAACCGAUGCUGCCGUUGUGGUCAUGGACAUCAAGCAGCUAACUGCACACUAAAGACUUUCUGCCCAACCUGCAACAAGAAGCACCUUAUGGUACUACAUGAUGUCAAUGACCAGGUCAAGCCAUCUCAGCCAAGUGCAGCUCCUUCCAGUGCAGUUUUAUAUGUUGACCGACCAACCUCCGGAAGUAAAGUACUGCUCAAAGUGACUAAGGUUCUGAUCAAGAAUGGCAACGUGGCAAUGGAGGCUUACGCCAUAUUAGAUAAUGGAUCAGAGCGGACCAUCAUUCUGCAUGAUGCAGUGCAGAAAUUACGACUUGUGGGGGAGCCAGAGGACCUUGUACUUUGUACAGUGAGACAGGAUACCCAGGUCAUUCACGAGGCGGCAGUGACUUUUACUGUGUCCCAAACUGUUAACCUCAGCAAAGCUUACAAGAUUGGUAAUGCCUUCACAGCCAAAGCACUCGGUCUGGCAGAACAUACACACCCAGUUAGUGUCCUGCAACAGAAAUUUAAGCAUCUUGCAGGGUUACUUCUACAACAGCUGGACAAGGUACAUCCUGUUCUUCUCAUUGGCUCUGAUUGCCCCCACCUUCUCACACCCAUAGAAGCAGUCCGACUGGGGCCCCCUGGUGGACCAGCAGCAGUAAGAACACGUCUGGGAUGGACACUGCAGGGUCCAACUGAAGAAUUGAGCAGUCAUCUUUCCCCUGAUCAAUGCAUCUUCACCUCGCUGCGGCCUGUCAAUGACCUUUAUGCAAAUGUGGAGAGACUGUGGCAAAUGGAUGUUCUACCCUACCAGAGUGAAAAGGUGAUCACCAGGUCACGCCAAGACAAAGAGUCCAUUCAGCUUCUGCAAGAAAACACGGUGAGAGUGGAUGUUAAUGGUAUCCAGCGAUACGCUACUCCUCUGCUCCGUGUCAAGAACAUGCCUCGCCUCUGUGCACCAAAGGAAGCUGUCCUGCCACAGUUGAGAGGAAUCGAGAAACGGCUGGAAAGGGACCCUGUUCUAGCUGCAGCAUACCAAGGGGAGCUGGCCAAGCUAGUGCAAGCUGGUUAUGGUGUCAAACUUAGUCAGGAGCAAGUGGACAGAACAAAGGAAGCCUGGUACAUCCCACACCACAUGGUGCAGCAUAAUGGGAAGAACAGGGUGGUCUUUAACUGUUCAUUCUCAUAUCAAGGGCACAACCUGAAUGAGCUACUGUUACCUGGUCCAACACUUGGUCCAUCUCUCCUGGCAGUCCUUCUGCGUUUCCGGGAGCACUCUGUUGCCAUCAGUAGUGACAUCCGCGGCAUGUUCCAUCAGGUACGCCUCUUGCCACAAGAUAAACCUCUGCUGAGACACAUCUGGAUAGACAUGCAAAGAGACAGAAUCCCAGAUGUCUAUGAAUGGCAGGUACUGCCUUUCGGGACCACUUGCAGUCCGUGUUGUGCCUCGUUCGCUUUACAGAAGCACGUUCUAGAUCACAGCCAGCCUGGAGAGGACACACAAGUUUCAGUGGAGAAGUCAUUCUAUGUGGACAAUUGCCUCCAGAGCUUCGCUUCCCAUGACAUGGCCAAGAAUCUUGUAGACAAACUCUGUAGCCUUCUAGCAUCUAGUGGCUUUGAGUUACGACAUAGGGCUAGCAAUGACCCUUCAGUUAUCAGCCAUCUGCCAGCUGACAUUCAGUCUCGGAGUAGCAUCCUCUGGCUCAGCGAAGGCCACCAAGAAGCUCAGGAAUCAACACUUGGCCUGCACUGGAAUUGCCAAUCAGAUAACCUCUCUUACAAACGAUGCAAACCAGACAGUGAAGUGCCCACAAUGCGAAGCAUCUACCAGAUUCUUGCCAGCCAGUAUGAUCCCCUUGGCUAUAUUGUACCCUUCACCACUCGAGCCAAGGUGAUAGUGCAGAGGUUGUGGGACAAACAAAGGGAGUGGGAUGACCCAAGGCUGCCAGAGGACCUAUUUGACUCUUGGAAACACUGGGAGAGUGAAUUGGAAGAUCUGCAGAAUAUCAGUUUGCCCAGAUGUUACUGCAGCAAGGAACUAGACUGCUCUAGUAGUAUUAGGCAACUUCACAUCUUUUGUGAUGCCUCAGAGAAGGCAUAUGGAUCUGUGGCUUACUUAAGAACAGAGAACCCUCAAGGUAAAGUGGAGGGGGCCUUUGUAACAGCUAGGUCUCGUGUUGCUCCCAAGAAACAGCAGAGCAUCCCUUGUCUUGAGCUGUGUGCAGCAUUUACAGGUGCACAGCUUGCUAAAGUCCUGAAGGCAGAGCUAACGUUACCACUCAGUAGUGUCACACUGUGGUCUGAUUCCACCACAGUGCUAAUUUGGCUUUUAUCAGAUUCCUGUCGCUUUAAGGUGUUUGUGGGGACCAGAGUGGCAGAAGUACAGGACUUGACUGAAUCUGACACCUGGCGUUACGUACAGUCAUCCGACAACCCAGCAGAUGCAAUUACAAGAGGAAAGUCUCCCUCUGAUCUCAACAAAGACAGCAGAUGGAACCAAGGCCCAGCAUUCCUCAGACAAAGACCAGACAGCUGGCCAGAAAUGCCACCAUUAGCUCACAUAAGUCAAGACGGUGAGCUGAAAAGGUCAACUUUCUGUGGACUGUUAACCUCUGCUCUGUCACUGCCAGAUCCUCAUAAAUUUUGCACCUUCACAGACUACUUAAAAGCUCUUAUACAACCAUCAGCAGAAAGCUCUCCCUCCAUUGAAACUGCAGAAGACUAUAUAGAAGCUGAGCUCACAGCCCUCCGACAGAUCCAGGCAGAAUCAUUCCCAGACGAGAUAUUGCACUUGAAAUCUGGUAAACCUCUACCAAGGGUUGGCGGUCGCCUCCGACAAAUAAGUCAACUAGACGAGGAUACCAUUCACCCCAUUGUCCUUGACCCACAUCACCCGCUCACCAAACUAAUUAUCAAAGACUACGAUGACUGUUUGCAUCACCCUGGACCAGGGUGGACUAGUAUUGAUCUCCUCACAAGUAUGGACAGUGACUCAUUCCUGAUGGCCCUUCGUCGCUUCAUUGCUCGACGAAGGAAAAACUUUGAAAUCAUGGCAGAUCAGGGAACGAAUUUCAAAGGUGGUGAAAGGGAACUUCGGGAUGCCUACACUGCUCUUCAACCUGAGCUCCAAGCUCAACUGGCAAGCCAGCAAAUUAGGUUUACAUUCAAUCCACCUAAUGCCCCACAUUUUGGUGGAUGCUGGGAGUGGGAAAUUCGGUCCUUGAAAACAGCCCUGCAAGUGACACUCGGAGCACAGACGGUCACUGAAGAAGUAUUGCGGACUGUUCUCAUUGAAAUUGAGGGGAUCCUCAAUGCCAAACCUCUUGGUUACACAUCUUCAAACAUUGCUGACCCUGACCCAGUUACACCCAACAUCCUGCUGAUGGGGCGGCGGGACGCCUCACUUCCCCAAGUGACAUACCAGGAUUCUGAGCUUCUGAGUCGACGGAGAUGGAGGCAUAGUCAGCUGCUAGCUGAUCACUUUUGGAGGCAAUUCAUCCGUAACUACCUACCCAGCUUUCAAACCAGACAGAAAUGGAUGUCAGAAACAGACAACCUACGGAUAGGUGAAACUGUUAUGAUUGUGGAUCCACAGCUACCUCGUGCACUUUGGCCUGUAGGAAGGAUUGUUCAAGUUUUCCCUGGGAAGGAUAACAGAGUCAGAUCAGCUGAGAUCAAAGUGAAAGACAGAACUUACCUAAGAACCACACACAUCUUUGCACAAUAAAUCACCCUGAAGUACAUUCCUGGUGUGAGACCUAAUGUUCUGACCGGACACCCUGUAGCCAUUCAAUGAAUCCGAACCUGAGUUAGACAAUAUACCACUACAUGGUGUAUCAGUAUGGAAUAUUACUGAACCUGUUGUUGAAAUGAGAUUAUUAGAUGCCCGGGAAAAAGAAGAAGGGUAUAGUAAUAGUUUUGAAAUCAGUGGUUUUAUGAGAGAAACAUUUUAUUCUUUUAUACAGAUUUAUACAGAUGGAUCUAAAGACCCAGUGAGUCAGAAAGUGGGUAUAGGAGUGUAUAUUCCCAGAUUUAAAUCACAAAUAAUCCUAAAAUUAAGUGAUAAAUUAUCUGUAUAUUCCACAGAAUUAAGUGCUAUAAUAGUAGGAUUGCAGUGGGUUGAACAGGUUAAGCCAAAUAGGGUUGUAAUUUGCUCAGACUCUUCAUCAGCUCUCAAAAGUAUAAUGUCAACAAGAACUGAUAGAGAAGACCUGUUGGUGGAAAUUUAUACAUUAUUAUACAGACUGAAAGCAGAGACUAUAGUAGUAUAUUUCUGUUGGGUACCAGCACACAUAGGGAUAGUAGGGAACGAAAAGGCUGAUCAAUUAACAAAAGAAGUAUUAAAGAAAAACUUGGUGGAUAUUAAGGUACCCCUGGGAAGAAGUGAGGUAAAAUCAGUGAUAAAUAAGGAAAUAAUAAAACUGUGGCAACAAAGAUGGGAAAAUAGUAG
ensembl:lncRNA